CACGUUUGUAGUUACUUAUUAUUGUAAAGAUGCAGGAGGGUACUUUUAAAAAGAUUCAUAUCCUCCAAAAUUGCUAUUGAAUUACAGACUCGUUCUAAACUCAUCAACUUGGCCUUUUUUAUGGUACAUUUCAGCCUUUCUUGCAGAGAAUCAACAACUUCUUCAAUGAGCUUGAUCAUGGAUUUCUCUUUGGCAUCCAUAUCUGUUCACGAAACACACAACUUAUAUUUCCAUUUUGAUGUCAUUGGCUCAAAACCAAGCAGAGACAACCUGUAUUAUGUAAAAGUAACAGAGUUCCAUAUGGGGAAGGUCAAUCAACAAAAGUAUGAUUUUGAUAUUUGUAUUAUGCACGCUUUCUUUUGGAUUUUGCUCACAAUGUGACUCAGACUUCCACAUGAAAGCAACAAGAAGCAUAACAUCCACCAAAGCAAGAAGUGAAGCUUAAGUGAGCAACUGGGAUGCACUCCAAGAGAAGCUUACAGCCUUUAUUUUUGAGUUCAUUCAGGUUAUCAUGAAUAUAAAAAAUUAUCUAAUUAUAGUUAAUGUCUUGGCAAAUAAGUACGUGAAUCCAGAAAUUCUUAUCAAUUGCUUUAAUUGUAUAUAAGCAAUGAAGUCAACAGUUAUUAUGGGUCCAAUUUAUAAUCCCUAACUCCAAGAGCUAUAAAAACACACACAAAACAAAUCCACAGAGUUAUAGCGGUUCAACAUGAGUUUGAGAUUUGAGUCACCUUCAAUGUAAGAGUUACUACUACUUGACGUGGCAGAUUGUCACUAUAACGAUAAAGAAGAUUAAAAAGGUUUCAUACACCUCCCUGUCUUCUCUAAUCUAAAACGCACCCCUCAACCCCUUUACCCCAAAAUCCUUUAGAAGUUUACAAGGUCAAUUGAUAGUCAAGGAAAAAAGUGUGCAAU
rnacentral:lncRNA from 1 species